GCCAUUUGCUUACACUUUCAAACGCAUUGUGUAGCGGGAAAACACAAUUGGCACUACUCUCUAUCAUCGAUGGACGCCAUAGGCGCCGGAGCAGAGAAAAAAACGGCCAUCUCCAAGAAGAGACCCCGCUCUACCAGACAACCAAAACCUAAGCCUAAAAUUGAAGUUCCAACUAGCGGCGAUAUAGAGGACUUCAGUUUCAGCAAAAACGAAACCCUACAAAUUAGGGCUUCUCUAUUGGAAUGGUAUGAUAAUAAUCAAAGAGACCUUCCUUGGCGAAGAAUAAGUAGUAGUAGCAGUUGCGGAUUUAAAGAAGAUGAUGAUGAGAGAGAGAAAAGGGGUUAUGCAGUGUGGGUAUCUGAAGUAAUGCUUCAGCAAACUAGGGUUUCAACUGUGAUUGACUAUUUUAAUCGGUGGAUGAAUAAAUGGCCUACUCUUCGACAUCUCGCUCAAGCUUCUCUUGAGGAGGUGAAUGAAAUGUGGGCAGGUUUAGGAUACUAUAGACGAGCUCGGUUUUUGCUGGAGGGUGCAAAAGAGGUUGUCGAACAAGGAGGUACUUUUCCGGAGACAGUUUCAGAUCUUCGCAACAUCAAAGGAAUUGGUGAAUAUACUGCUGGUGCUAUAUCCUCAAUCGCCUUCAAAAAGGCAGUGCCUGUUGUUGAUGGAAAUGUGGUCAGAGUUAUUUCUAGGCUGAAGGCUAUAUCUGCAAAUCCAAAAGACGCAGCGUCAGUUAAGAAUUUUUGGAAACUUGCAGGGCAAUUAGUUGAUCCUUUUAGGCCUGGAGAUUUCAACCAAGCUCUUAUGGAACUUGGGGCUACGUUGUGCUCUCUUUCGAAUCCAGGUUGUGCUGCAUGCCCCAUCUCUGCUCAAUGUCAUGCUUUAUCACUCUCUAGGCAGAACGAAUCAGUUCAUGUUACAGAUUACCCAAUUAAAGUUAUGAAGGCCAAACAAAGGCAUGAGUUUUCCGCUGUUAGUGUUGUAGAGAUACUGGAUUGCCAGGAAACGAUAGGACCUCAAUCCAGCAGCAAAUUUAUUCUUGUGAAAAGACCAAAUAAUGGUCUACUUGCUGGCCUCUGGGAGUUUCCAUCAGUUCUCUUGGAAAAGGAAGCAGACUUGGCCUCAAGAAGAAUAGCAAUUGAUAAAUUUUUACAGUCAUCAUUCAAUCUAGAUCUUAAAGAGUCUAUUAGAAUAGUUUCACGAGAAUAUAUUGGAGAAUAUGUCCACGUCUUCAGUCAUAUACGCCUCAAGAUGUACAUAGAGUUGCUGGUCUUACGUCCAAAAGGAAAUAAUAGCAUUGACUACAAAAAGCAGGACAAAGAGAGUAUGACAUGGAAAUAUGUCGAUAGUAAAAACCUCGAUAGCAUGGGAUUGACAUCUGGAGUAAGAAAGGUUUAUAGCAUGGUACAGAAACACAAGCAAACUGACCAGGGUACCAUCCUGGAAAGGAGGAGGAAGCCAGCAUUAAGAAGAUAGAGAUGGUACUGGCUGUGCCAAUGAAACCUUUACUGACCACUCAAGUACUCUUUCUCCAAAUUCUGGCAAUGUUUUCCAGGAGAUACCAUCCUAGUCUAGGAUUAUGCGUAAGGAUAUAUUAAAGGCUCCCUUAAUGACGGGAAAUUUAGCCAGGAAGACAUGAUUGUGCAGCUGUUUGACAAUUGGUGUAUAACAGAUCAUACAGAUGCUAAAUUAUUGUAUCUUAUUGGCAUGUGUUUCCAAGCUCUUGUCUGCAAUAUUAAGCAGAUGCAUUGGAUUUUGUACUUUUAAGUAAUUAAAGUGGAUGUGUAAGCAGUGACAACGGUUCCAUGAAUCUAUUGGUUGUAAAAUAUUUUGUACACCUGUAUGAAGUAGCUUUAUAUUGGAACACAUUUGGCAGCCAUACAUUUUGGAGCUUCAA